CCGAAUCCUGGCAACCCCCGACCGAGAGCCAGCGCUAAAACUAUAAAAACGAUCCCUCGCUGCGCCUUUGCCUCUUUUUUGUGCGUGGCGUUCGUGUGUGCGGUUCUUGUUGAAACAUGUUUGGUUCUUGUGUAAUUUUAACAGUUUUCGUUAAUAGUAAAUUGAAAUCAUUUUGUUAGAAGUUUUGUUAAUUCAGUGAAAUAUAAUUAGGCCAGUUCUGUGUUAUUUAUUUCUUUUUGUUAACUACCUCACUUCUGGUCGAUAAUAUCAGAAGUGGGAUAAAUCCACGUGCUUUUGAAAUAUGACGGGACGUCGAUCUAGAAAAUACAAGCGUGAUCAUUCUCAUUGACGCUGUCAUGACAGCUCGAAUUCUUGAUUUAGGAGUUUGUUGCAAUUAUUAUCGUCGCGAUCGUGCUGUGUGUAGGAAGAGCAAGACACCUACGCCGCAGGAUUUCUCCUGGCAUAGUUCCGUGGAACCGUUGUUUAGAACAUAAUUAUACUCGUGAGAUCGUGAGAUUAGGGACCACUUUACCGGUACCGUCUAAUCGCAAUACGCUGUCGCACUCUUGUACCGAACGCCACGCGCAGUUAUUUUUGCCACCAGCAGCAACGAUUUCCGUCGAAGGGGGUGACGCAUGUGCACCUGAGUACCCUGGAACAGCGUCAUGCAAAUCGGCGGGUGUGUGUAGCAGUGCUGGUCAGCAGAUGGACGGCGUGACGAACAGGAUUAUUGGAGCAUUGCAGGUGCUAUCUAAACUUUGACAAUGGAGGCGCCUUCUGUCUGAUUUGUUCACAGACGCAGGGCGUUGUCGCCGACGUGUGAGGUCAGUAGCGAGUCGGCGCCGUGCUCCAGCAGGAGAGCGCAGAGCCGUGCAGACUGCGCGUGUUGCUCGCGUGCCGGUACCUGCGCGCGCUCACCUGCUUCAGACGUGCAUACUGCGCGUACUGCUCGCGUGCCGCUGGCUGCGCGCACUGCUCGCGUGCAGCUGGCUACGCGCGCUCAUCUACUUCUGGCGCGCAUACUGCGCGCACUGCUCGCGUGCCGCUGGCUGCGCGCGCUCAUCUGCUUCUGGCGCGCAUACUGCGCGUACUGCUCGCGUACUGCUGGCUGCGCGCGCUCAUCUACUUCUGGCGCGCAUACUGCGCGCGCUCGCCUGCUUCAGACGUGCAUACUGCACGUGUUGCUCGCGUGCCGCUGCAUGCGCGCGCUCACCUACUUCUGACGUGCAUACUGCACGUGUUGCUCGCAUGCCGCCGACUGCACGGUGCUGUACGACUGGUAGUGACGCAGAGGGCGAUGUCGCUUAGUCUGCGGCCUGCUACUGCGGACUACCCAACUGAUUAUCUAUCAGGACGGUCGAGCGGGACGCCCGCCAGACGUGGUGCAGCCUCGCAUCGUGGGAGCAGACUAGAGCUGGGACGGCUGCCCUGCUUCCACAUCAUCCUUACGAGUGGCCCCGGUGACAUGCAGCCUUUUCUUCGAAAUUAAUAUGUGAAGGUCGAGGUGGGCACUUCGGUGCUUUACUUCCCAUUUUUGAGGUUGAGGUGGGCACGACGGUGCUUUACUUCCCAUUUUUGAGGUUGAGGUGGGCACGACGGUGCUUUACUUCCCGUUUAUUUUUUUUGAGCAGUAUGGUAGAUGCGGAUUCGGCCGGAUCUUGCGUCCCUACUGUUUAGCUGUGUUGUGUCGGUAAUGUUCAGUAUCUGUAUCGGUGAAUAUUGCCGACAACAGCGCGCUACUGUUUUAGACGUUUCCUGUACGGGCUAACUCAGUAAAGGAAUCAUGCAGGUGUCUCAAAUUGCGCAGUUUGGGACAGUUGUGCGAUAUCCAUUCUUCUCACUUCAAAUGUUUAUCUUUGGCUCGUCCUCGCUGCAGAUGUAAGAGUGCACGCUUGCGUCUGUAGUAGGGAUUCUAAAUUUUAGAAAGUUUUAGAGCAUUAAGGUCUGGGUGUAAUUUUUUUUGUUACGUUACAGAGGGUGACCUUGUUGAUGCAAGCUCUGACGUAGCUGGAAGAGAUAUGCUUCUGCUGAGAGAUGAAGCGGUCGAGGACGCCUCGCCAUCAGGAACGGCCGUGUUACCGAAUCCUGGCAACCCCCGACCGAGAGCCAGCGCUAAAACUAUAAAAACGAUCCCUCGCUGCGCCUUUGCCUCUUUUUUGUGCGUGGCGUUCGUGUGUGCGGUUCUUGUUGAAACAUAUUUGGUUCUUGUGUAAUUUUAACAGUUUUCGUUAAUAGUAAAUUGAAAUCAUUUUGUUAGAAGUUUUGUUAAUUCAGUGAAAUAUAAUUAGGCCAGUUCUGUGU